rnacentral:rRNA from 1 species
GACGAACGCUGGCGGCGUGCCUAAUACAUGCAAGUCGAGCGGACGAAUCGAAAGCUUGCUUUUGAUUCGUUAGCGGCGGACGGGUGAGUAACACGUGGGCAACCUGCCCUGUAGACGGGGAUAACACCGAGAAAUCGGUGCUAAUACCGGAUAACACGAAAUGUCGCAUGACGUUUCGUUGAAAGACGGCGCAAGCUGUCGCUGCAGGAUGGGCCCGCGGCGCAUUAGCUAGUUGGUGAGGUAACGGCUCACCAAGGCGACGAUGCGUAGCCGACCUGAGAGGGUGAUCGGCCACACUGGGACUGAGACACGGCCCAGACUCCUACGGGAGGCAGCAGUAGGGAAUCUUCCGCAAUGGACGAAAGUCUGACGGAGCAACGCCGCGUGAGCGAAGAAGGCCUUCGGGUCGUAAAGCUCUGUUGUUAGGGAAGAACAAGUAACGCAGUAACUGGCGUUACCGUGACGGUACCUAACGAGAAAGCCACGGCUGACUACGUG